CGGGACGGGUGAGUAAUGUCUGGGAAACUGCCUGAUGGAGGGGGAUAACUACUGGAAACGGUAGCUAAUACCGCAUAACGCCGCAAGACCAAAGAGGGGGACCUUCGGGCCUCUUGCCAUCGGAUGUGCCCAGAUGGGAUUAGCUAGUAGGUGGGGUAACGGCUCACCUAGGCGACGAUCCCUGGCUGGUCUGAGAGGAUGACCAGCCACACUGGAACUGAGACACGGUCCAG
rnacentral:rRNA from 1 species